rnacentral:tmRNA from 1 species
GGGGGCGAAAGGCUUCGACCGGAUAAGUUGACGGUCGGUUGGCGUGUCGAGGAUAACGGUUGGCCUCGUUAAAUAUCCGUUAAAAAACUUAACUGGCAACUACCAGUACCAAAUGGCUGCGUAAAUUACGCAACCCGCAUCGGUGGGUUUUCCCGUGAAUCUGCCGUUUGCGACGACUAGCGGGAUAGCUGAGGCGUCUUUUCGCAGCGCCAACGCGAAAUCCUUUGCGAAAUAGCGAUGCGGCAAGCCUGUCGUUGGGCGUGCCGUUGGGCGAAUCCUAAAAUAACGACUACACAUGUAGAAGACCGGCCUGAAAUAUCUCGGGACAGGGGUUCGAAUCCCCUCGCCUCCAUUU